CCUACGGGGGGCUGCAGUGGGGAAUAUUGGGCAAUGGGCGCAAGCCUGACCCAGCAACGCCGCGUGAAGGAAGACGGCCUUCUGGUUUUAAACUUCUUUUUUCAGGGACGAAGAAAGUGACGGUACCUGACGAAUAAUCCACGGCUAACUACGUGCCAGCAGCCGCGGUAAUACGUAGGUGGCAAGCGUUAUCCGGAUUUACUGGGUUUAAAGGGUGUGUAGGCGGGAGAGCAAGUCAGACGUGAAAUUCCAGGGCUCAACCCUGGAACUGCGUUUGAUACUGUUCUUCUUGAGUGAUGGAGAGGUAGGCGGAAUGCAGGGUGUAGCGGUGAAAUGCGUAGAGAUACGGAGGAACACCAGUUGCGAAGGCGGCCUGCUGGACAUUAACUGACGUUGAGGCGCGAAAGCGUGGGGAGCAAACAGGAUUAGAUACCCGUGUAGUC
rnacentral:rRNA from 1 species